rnacentral:tRNA from 1 species
GCAAUGAUGGUUCACUGGUAGAAUUCUCACCUUCCAUGCAGCAGACCUGGGUUCAAUUCCCAGCCACUGCC